AUUGAACGCUGGCGGCAUGCUUUACACAUGCAAGUCGAACGGCAGCGCGGGCUUCGGCCUGGCGGCGAGUUGCGAACGGGUGAGUAAUACAUCGGAACGUGCCCAGUAGUGGGGGAUAGCUCGGCGAAAGCCGGAUUAAUACCGCAUACGACCUGAGGGUGAAAGCGGGGGAUCUUCGGACCUCGCGCUAUUGGAGCGGCCGAUGGCAGAUUAGCUAGUUGGUGGGGUAAAGGCCUACCAAGGCGACGAUCUGUAGCUGGUCUGAGAGGACGACCAGCCACACUGGGACUGAGACACGGCCCAGACUCCUACGGGAGGCAGCAGUGGGGAAUUUUGGACAAUGGGCGAAAGCCUGAUCCAGCAAUGCCGCGUGUGUGAUGAAGGCCUUCGGGUUGUAAAGCACUUUUGGCGGGAACGAAAAGGACUGUGCCAAUACCACGGUUCGAUGACGGUACCCGCAGAAUAAGCACCGGCUAACUACGUG
rnacentral:rRNA from 1 species